rnacentral:rRNA from 1 species
UGGGGAAUAUUGCACAAUGGGCGCAAGCCUGAUGCAGCCAUGCCGCGUGUGUGAAGAAGGCCUUCGGGUUGUAAAGCACUUUCAGCGAGGAGGAAGGUGGUGAGCUUAAUACGCUCAUCAAUUGACGUUACUCGCAGAAGAAGCACCGGCUAACUCCGUGCCAGCAGCCGCGGUAAUACGGAGGGUGCAAGCGUUAAUCGGAAUUACUGGGCGUAAAGCGCACGCAGGCGGUUUGUUAAGUCAGAUGUGAAAUCCCCGGGCUCAACCUGGGAACUGCAUUUGAAACUGGCAAGCUAGAGUCUCGUAGAGGGGGGUAGAAUUCCAGGUGUAGCGGUGAAAUGCGUAGAGAUCUGGAGGAAUACCGGUGGCGAAGGCGGCCCCCUGGACGAAGACUGACGCUCAGGUGCGAAAGCGUGGGGAGCAAAACAGGAUUAGAUACCCUGGUAGUCCACGCUGUAAAACGAUGUCGAUUUUGGAGGUUGUGCCCUUGAGGCGUGGCUUCCGGAGCUAACGCGUUAAAUCGACCGCCUGGGGAGUACGGCCGCAAGGUUAAAACUCAAAUGAAUUGACGGGGUC